rnacentral:rRNA from 1 species
UACGUAGGAGGCAAGCGUUAUCCGGAUUCACUGGGCGUAAAGCGCGCGCAGGCGGCUCCUUAAGUUAGGUGUGAAAGCUUCCAGCUUAACUGGGAGAGGCCAUCUAAUACUGGGGGGCUUGAGGACAGCAGAGGAAGAUGGAAUUCCCGGUGUAGUGGUGAAAUGCGUAGAUAUCGGGAGGAACACCAGUGGCGAAGGCGGUCUUCUGGGCUGUACCUGACGCUGAGGCGCUAAAGCGUGGGGAG